AUUGAACGCUGGCGGCAGGCCUAACACAUGCAAGUCGAGCGGCAGCGGGACCUUCGGGUUGCCGGCGAGCGGCGGACGGGUGAGUAAUGCCUAGGAAUCUGCCUGUUAGUGGGGGAUAACGCGGGGAAACUCGCGCUAAUACCGCAUACGUCCUACGGGAGAAAGCGGGGGCUCUUCGGACCUCGCGCUAACAGAUGAGCCUAGGUCGGAUUAGCUAGUUGGUGGGGUAAUGGCCCACCAAGGCGACGAUCCGUAACUGGUCUGAGAGGAUGGUCAGUCACACUGGAACUGAGACACGGUCCAGACUCCUACGGGAGGCAGCAGUGGGGAAUAUUGGACAAUGGGCGAAAGCCUGAUCCAGCCAUGCCGUGUGUGUGAAGAAGGUCUUCGGAUUGUAAAGCACUUUAAGUCGGGAGGAAGGGCUGUAGGCUAAUACCUUGCAGUUUUGACGUUACCGGCAGAAUAAGCACCGGCUAACUUCGUGCCAGCAGCCGCCGUAA
rnacentral:rRNA from 1 species